UCCAAAUGCGGAAGCCACUUGUGUAGGUC
rnacentral:piRNA from 1 species